CGGGGCUGUGUACUUGCAUCAAGAAGUAGGUCAAUUAAAGCCGCGGCAUCUCUAGUCUGUGGAGGCAGGAAAAUUGUACAACAAAGUCGAAUGGAGGCCAAGCGUCUUCAAUCGAAAUGGAUCGUCUGUAAGUAUAUUUAUUUUCACGCACUGUCCAAAGGGCGAUCCAGUGAUGAUAUAUGGACACUGAAGAAACUACAGCUAAGCUCGCCAGAAAUGCCUUAGCACAUAUAUUGGAAUCAAGGCUAAUGGCAGAGUUUCACUUUCUGACGCAAGGAAGAGCGCUACGUGUUAGACAAAAGGGAGUUAGGACAGUAAGUCUUAUGCCAAAACAGGUACUUCUUAGGCGUGUUUUCUAACAGCCAAAUAAAAUUAAACUUUGUUCUUUAGUUUCAAAGGGAUCAUUUAAAUAAUUACUUGAAGUUUAAAAUGUAAAUUUGAGCAGUAUCAAUUGAAGAUAUAAGUUGAUGAAAAAUUACGUUUGGCAGUUUGUAACAAUUUGCAUGGCUGUAUAUGUAUGUGUAGUGUAAUAUUCAUGUCAUUCCUUUGUCACUAUCUUGUUUUUUACAACCCUGUUACACAUGCAUAGUUUUAGGUUUUAUAUUUAGAAACCUUUGUUUGGUGGUGGUGAUUGGGGGGGAGGGGGUUGAACAUAAAUAUUUGGCCAUAAAUAUUUUACUUAUGUGCUUCAUAUGAUGAUUACAAAUUCAGUUUGUGUCAUGUUGCACUUGAAACUGCCUAGUGUACAUUGUGUCCUUUGGUGAAGUCAGAGACACUGUGAAGAAUGAUUGUGGCAUCAAGAUACACCUUUUCUUCUGCUGCUAGGAUGCUGUGUGAAGAGGAGGGGUAAGUAUAGGACCCGAAGGACAAACUCAUCUGAUGAGGUGCUCUGCUUUCUGUGAUCUUCUUGGCUGAGAUAUGGUAAAUGCAAUUACUCUAAAGACUAGGAAAAUGGAAGGAAGACACUGAACUUCAAAUUUGCCAAGUAAGUUGAGAAGAAUUCCAGAGCCACACAGCAUACUGCAGUGUCAGCAAGAAAGAUCUCAUGGGUUCCAUGUGGGCAUGAUGGACAUGUUAAGUUUGACUAGUUGAUGAGAGAAAAAAAAGGGAAUAGGAACACUAUUGCACCUACCUACAUUACUUUCAAAACAACUGAGGUUAGUUACAGGGCAGUGGCAACUUCACACUUUUAUUGAUGGAUUCUGAAGACCAUUACCAGAUGUAUAAUAAUCAAAUAUCAUCAGAAAUGAAGGGCACGUUAAUUAUUCCAAAGAGUGAAAGUAGUACAAAUCAAAGGAAAAUAUUUUGAUGGUAAUCAAUAUGAGCUCACUCAGAGGUCACUCACAGGGGCCAGUCUUAACAGAAUUGACAAGGUCAUCAUCCCUGUGCUUGACUUUAUUAAGACAUGUCAUGUAGGUGGUGAUGGAGUUAACUUUUGGAUAAUAUAUAAGGAAUUAUCUGUAUCAAUCAUCUGCUGCUAAUGUUAUACAUUCAUUAGUCACUUCUAGGCUGGGAUGUCCAGAUGAUAGGAUUAAAAGAUAACAAUGCAUUCAGAAUAUUUCAGCACAGCUUUUCAUGUAACAGCCUAGAAACUCGUCACAUUAUUCCAGUUUUAAAGCAGCUGCAUUGGUUAUCAGUUAGGGCUAGAAAUUUAAAAUAUUUAGUUUUUACACGUUGCAUUCUCUUAUGUAGCUCCAGCAUAUAUAACUGAUCUGGUAAAAAAUCAUAACUCCUACCGAAAAUUGCCAUUAUAGCAGGGUAAAAAAAAUAUAUGGUGACAUGUAAUUUUGUAUAGCUUCACUGUUGGAGUGGAACAAGGUGUCAAUUUACUGAAGGCAGAUAGAAACAGAAAUCUCUUAUAAGGAAUUAAACACACAUUUUUAAAGAUGUUUUAUUGACGAAUUUUGUUCAAUUUUUAAAAUAUACAUUAUGUAAGGGAAGUAUUGGGUCUUUUAAUUACUGCUUAGUCAAACGUUUUAACAUUUAUAAUUAAUAUAAUAUAUAUAACUGUAAUA